UAAUUUGGCUAAUUACUUUUUUUUCUUAUUAUACUUUAAUACUAUCACUGCAUACUUAAUAAUUUUGUUAUAAACUGUCUGCUUUAUCCCCAGAUAAAAUCUCUCUGGACUGAGAUUUCUCAAAAUUAGAAAUAUCGUAUCAGAGUUUAAGGAUUCAAUAAAUCUGAUGUAGCUGAAAGACUAACAACAUGACGAGAAGAGGUUGAGUGUGAGCAAUUUGGAGAAAAAGAUUUUUAAAAGGCCAAAGAGAAGGGAAGAAGACAGAUGCUGUCCGGGGGACCCAUUGAACAUGAGUGAGCAGCCGUUUAGAUACCACUGGGAUGGAGAAUCGAGUCCUUCUGAUCAUCAGAAGAAACUGAGGGAAGAGAACAUUGUUGAGUAAUGAAGAAGAGAGAUUUCAAACUGUUCAAGUUUCCUCUUCUAGAAUAGGCCAGAAAAAGAAAUUGAAGCUUCAGGAAAACGUUUUUUAAAUUCUUCUCUCAACCAACCUGCCCUAGAUAGAUAGGUCACUCUCUUCCUAAACAGAGCACUAGUUCCAGACUUGGAGAUUAUAACCCCAUAGUAUAGUUUAACCCACUAGAGUUCUGUAUUGAAAUUUAAGGGAUGUAGACUUGUUUUACUUCAUUUACUUCUCGUUGAAACAUGAUGAUUUUCAGUCCUCUUAUUUACAGAGAUAAUAUCAUUCUGUAAUUGACAAUAAAACUGAAAAAAUGCAUGCAA